GUCCACGCCGUAAACGAUGAGAGCUAGUUGUCGGCAUGCAUGCAUGUCGGUGACGCAGCUAACGCAUUAAGCUCUCCGCCUGGGGAGUACGGUCGCAAGAUUAAAACUCAAAGGAAUUGACGGGGGCCCCGCACAAGCGGUGGAGCAUGUGGUUUAAUUCGAAGCAACGCGCAGAACCUUACCACCUUUUGACAUGCCCGGAUCACUCCAGAGAUGGAGCUUUCCCUUCGGGGACCGGUGCACAGGUGCUGCAUGGCUGUCGU
rnacentral:rRNA from 1 species